rnacentral:lncRNA from 1 species
GCAUGUAAGAAAACAUAUCAAACUCUUUUUCUCUGUGUGGUAUAUUGGGCAAAUAGGAAUUGGAUGUGGGCGGCAUCAUAAAGCUAGAGUCCUAGGAAUGUUGGACUCUUAUCUCUUACCUAAAUCCUAUCUCUUAUCCUAUUUAAACAUGGGACCAUAUGAGGCGUUAUUAACCAAAUGUGAUCAAGUUUAUGGAUGCCAAAUAGAGAGGAGGCAUGCGUGAAAAUAUUGGAGAAAGAGAGGUGCGGCAUCCACGGGAAGGGUGUGAGGUAAGGUUGCUC